rnacentral:tRNA from 1 species
GAGACUACGGCCGUUUCUUCCUUCGAGGACGCCAGGAGCUCGCACAUCGCGUCGCCUACGAAGACGCCAAGGGUUCGAUUCCCUUUGGUCUCACCA